GCUAUUAUUUGUAGAAGUAUGAUGUUGUAACUGUCAUAUACAACUUUUGUUUGGUCUGUUGAUUCUCUCUCAUACCUUUUAGUUUCUUAAGAGUACAUCUUUGAAGCUCUACCUGAAUUUUAGGCCUGAUCUUGUGUAAAUGUGAAUAAUGAUAUCUUUAUCUCAUGCACGUCACUUAGUUCUAUCCUUUAAUUUUUUUUUUUUUUUUUUUGCCAAAAACCUUGGAGCUUAAAACCCAUAAUCAGAUAAUGGAUGUUCACUGCCAUUACCCUACUAUUGGCAGAUUGUGAUUAGGCCCACAAAAGGGCUUGAUACUGAUAGUGGAAGCCUAGCUGCGACUAAAGUAGCAUUUGAAGUAGAUUUAUCUUUCCACGUGAAGUCUUCUUCCGCUAAAUUGAACAUUCAUCUGAAGUCAAUUAUGAUCUCCAGUUAGGAAGUCAAUGCACUCAAAUAAUAUUUUCCCUGAAUAAUGAGGAUACAUGACACUAUGACAGUAUGUAUAGUAAGCAAAUCAUCUGAAAAUAUUGAGAGGUCCUUAAGAGUUUUAACUGUCUUGCAACAUGGGAAACUAGAUUAUAUGAUUUGUUAGUUUAUGUAUGCUAAUAUUUCCUCCUACCUUUUUAUGCUUUCAUGAUUUUCUUUUGUGUGUAUGUUGUGGUGGGGGGCUGUGGUCCAACUCUGUCUUUCUUCUUGAUGUAUUACAUUGCAUUUCCGUUGUCAACCUUUUGAAGUAAGCUUAGUACUUGAGUCAUCUGAAGCUUCUUGUGUCAUUAUUACUUAAGUUAAAUUGUAACCACAUCCUUUUUAUAAAUUAAUUUGAUAUUAAACUAGAGCGAAACAACUGGUGUUUUGAGGAUUUUAAAAGGACAGUAAUCAAUCUAAAAUUUUUAUUUUUUAAAACACUAUUAGAUUGGAUGUCUAUCGUAGAAAUCCAUUCUAUCUCUUCGAUUUAUGAUUUGACGGAUGCUUUUAUUUGUGUUCUGAUUAUAUUGAUCCCCAGUUGUAUAUGUCAUGUAUUCUUGGGUGACUCUCUUUUUUAAUGUUUGAAUAACAUUUUUAUUACUUAUAUAAAAAAAAAAUAAAAAAAUAAAAAAAAUAAAAAAAUCGGGGCUCAAGUGAUAACCUAGUGGUAAUGGCAUCCUUUGUGGUGCCCCAUUUUUGUGGUUUGAGCCCCACCUCCUCCUCCCCCUUUAUCUACCUAUCAAAAAAAGUAUUAAUUCCAUGAUAAGAGAGAUUGCCACAUUUGUAAUAUGUUUUUAUAUGUAUGGCAAUGAAGAAUUCUGGAAAACUUCUUAUGAUAUACUCCUUAUGAUAAGUGCCAGCUUGAAAGACUCAUCAGCUAUUUCUUAUGCACCUUAUCACAAACUGAUUUAGCAUGAUAAUGGGCUAUCUUUCUGGCUCAUCUCCUCAGUUAAAAAGUGGAACAGUGUCUGCUUUGUCAGUAUUGGUUUAUCAGGAUGUAGAUAUCUGAUGUCAAUGUCUGAUCUUGUCCCCUUACUUUUAUCUUUGCUGCAUACCAAAGUGGUGGAAGUGAUAAAAGUGAGUGUUCUCUUAAUUGCUCCUGAUUCAGAGUGUUGGUACAAUUUUGCUUUUGAUGCUAGUUGAUUGCAUAUUUAACGGCUGUUUUGGGCAUUUUGAAAGUACUAGUGUCAUGCUUACAAGACAAAGACCUGCACAGUCUUUUGUCUGGUGUUGUGUAUGAAGUUCAACCAUGGUCAUAGUUCCCAGACAUCAUUUUAGAUCAAAGGCACAUGCAAAUUUGACAUUAAGCACUUAUUUGCCUUAUAUACAUAAUAAUGAAAAUGUAUUGGUGUUGGUGUUGGAAAUUUUCAAUACAUGCACGUACAUCUUUAUUUACAGGUCAUUGUAAUAAUGGAGAUUUUGAUACGGAAGUGAGGUUCUGCAUCAGUCGUCAGUUACUCCAGAGAAAUAUAAGGGUUUUCUGAAGGCCAUUUUGGAGAACCGCCAUUGGAAAACAAGUCCAAAGAAUCUGGUGCUGGUGAUACAGAAAUGACUCUUGCAGAUUCAUUUACAAAGGCUUCUGGAUCCAUGUUCGACUGAUCAAUUUUUUAUAUGCUGAUCUGUUCUUUCUUUAGAUCUCGCUCUAUCCUUUCUUUAGAUCUCUAUCUCAUUACCAUUGGACUUGCUUAUUUUGCUUUAUUUUUUUUAGGCCGGAGAAGUGGAAACACAAGGCAAUGGGUUCUAUAACUGAGGAGAAUAGUUCAGUAGAACAAAGGAAAAGAAAGAGAGAGAAGAAAAUCAAUGCUCUUAUCCCUAGCUCAAAUGAGCGUCAAUUGUCAUGUGGUAUUGUUGGUGGUUUAAGAGCAGUUUAAAGUGCUAAGUGCUCUAAUAAUGCAAAAUCACUGCAUAGUCAGUAGAAGGAAAGACAAAAGAAGAGCAAUAGGAAUCACAACAUAAUUAUGACAAGUCAUGACCAGAGAAAGAUGGAGCUGACUAACACUAGCAAGAAAGAUGAAGCAAUCCAUACACCUAUUGCUUCCAAAUUAGUCAAACACAAGGGGAGAAAGUUGUUGGAAAGCGUGGAAAACCUCUCCAUUACAAUGUAGCACAUUCCACAGGAUUAUUCCCUACUUCAUGAUCCAGGGAAGUAAUUUUGCACUUGGUAAUGGAAGAGGUGGAGAAUCAGUCUAUGGCUAGAAGCUUGCUGACAAGAACAUCAGGAUGAAGCAUACUGGACCAGGGUUGUUUGGUGUUUUGUUCAAGAUUAUUGAGAGAUAUCACUUUCUUCUUUGUUGUUUUACACUCCCAAUUUUUCAGUUGCUGCCCCUAUAGCAGAGACGUCAGUACGAGCGAAGUAUAUCUCUGAACUUGUAAGUGAUCUUCAGAUUGUUUCUACUUUCUGGGCAUGCGAUCGUAAUGUUAGAGGAGCACCUCCCAUCUCUUCCAUUCCUCUCUCUGCAUUGGCAGUUUUGGAUGGAGAUGGACUAUAUGUUCCUCUUCUGUGAAAUAAAGUUUUUGUAUUCAAUUAAAAAAAAAAAAAAAAGAA